GAUUAAGAACGCAGCGAAAUGCGAUAAGUAGUGUGAAUUGCAGAAUUCAGUGAAUCAUCGAAUCUUUGAACGCACAUUGCGCCCCUUGGUAUUCCAUGGGGCAUGCCUGUUCGAGCGUCAUUUGUACCUUCAAGCUUUGCUUGGUGUUGGGUGUUUGUCUCGCCUUUGCGUGUAGACUCGCCUUAAAAUAAUUGGCAGCCGGCGUAUUGAUUUCGGAGCGCAGUACAUCUCGCGCUUUGCACUCAUAACGACAGCGUCCAAAAGUACAUUUUACACUCUUGACCUCGGAUCAGGUAGGGAUACCCGCUGAACUUAAGCAUAUCAAUAAGCGGAGGA
rnacentral:misc_RNA from 1 species